rnacentral:tRNA from 2 species
GGUCUAUUAGUCUAGUUGGUUAGGACGUCGGAUUCUGACUUUACAGUCAUAUUCUUCCGUAGGCCCAGGUUCGAAUCCUGGAUGGACCU